rnacentral:rRNA from 1 species
UACGUAGGUGGCAAGCGUUGUCCGGAUUUAUUGGGCGUAAAGCGCGCGCAGGCGGUCCUUUAAGUCUGAUGUGAAAUCUUGCGGCUCAACCGCAAGCGGUCAUUGGAAACUGGGGGACUUGAGUACAGAAGAGGAAAGCGGAAUUCCACGUGUAGCGGUGAAAUGCGUAGAGAUGUGGAGGAACACCAGUGGCGAAGGCGGCUUUCUGGUCUGUAACUGACGCUGAGGCGCGAAAGCGUGGGGAGCAAACACG